AUUGAACGCUGGCGGCAGGCCUAACACAUGCAAGUCGAACGAGUGGCGGACGGGUGAGUAAUGUCUGGGAAACUGCCUGAUGGAGGGGGAUAACUACUGGAACCGGUAGCUCAUACCGCAUACCAUCAGAUGUGCCCAGAUGGGAUUAGCUAGUUGGUGGGGUAACGGUGAACCAAGGCGACGAUCACUAGCUGGUCUGAGAGGAUGACCAGCCACACUGGAACGGUGACACGUUCCAGACUCCUACGGGAGGCAGCAGUGGGGAAGAUUGCACAAGGGGCGCAAGCCUGAUGCAGCCAUGCCGCGUGUAUGAAGAAGGCCUUCGGGUUGUAAAGUACUGUCAGCGGGGAGGCGUUACCCGCAGAAGAAGCACCGGCUAACUCCGUGCCAGCCGCCGCGGUAAUAC
rnacentral:rRNA from 1 species